UACGUAGGGUGCAAGCGUUAAUCGGAAUUACUGGGCGUAAAGCGUGCGCAGGCGGUGAUGUAAGACGAUGUGAAAUCCCCGGGCAUCCAGCCGGGAACCUGCAUUUGUGACUGCAUCGCUGGAGUGCGGCAGAGGGGGAUGGAAUUCCGCGUGUAGCAGUGAAAUGCGUAGAUAUGCGGAGGAACACCGAUGGCGAAGGCAAUCCCCUGGGCCUGCACUGACGCUCAUGCACG
rnacentral:rRNA from 1 species